UCCCAGCCCUGAGGUGCUUCCUGCGUGGGUUGAGUAGAUGUGGGAGGGACGGCUGGACCUGGAAGAGACUGAAUGUGAGUGGAGAGGAGAGGAGGCAGAGCCAGGAGGAAUCCCAGAGUUAACAGGAGGACGAGUUGAGCUGACAGCUGGAAAGAGUGGUAGUAUUUCAUCCUGAAAAAGAGAUGACAUGACUAUUAAUUACCUGCUCCAGGUGAGCCACCCCUAACCGAGGCGUAGCUGCCAUCUCCAUCUACCUCUUCCAGACAGGAGAUCAGGCACAAAAGAAAGACCUCAAUUUACCUGAGUGAGGGCAGACACAGGAAGCCCAGCUGCCU